rnacentral:lncRNA from 1 species
AUCUGACUCCAAGGCAUUGAAGGCUACUUAGGAUCUACUAAGGGUUUGACAUCUCUCUGAAUACCCAAAGCACAAGGGAAAAUGACAGAGUUACGUACUAGAAAACAAAUAUCAGUACAUGCAAGACUUUGUGUAUUAUUUUGCAAGCACACUUGUUUGGAUAAAGAUUGAGAAAGAGUUUGAAGAAAGCUUUGAGAUAAUGGGCUGUGGAAGACAGAAGAGUGAACCAGUCUCCUUCCUUGUUCUUCAGUUCAGACGAUCAUUAGUUUGGACAACUGGAGGAUGGAGAUCCCAGGACAUACUGAAAGAUCAAGUCUAAUCCUGAAGAUCAGCAAAUCUGAAAAUGUGGGAACAGAACAACCACCAACCAAAAAAAACGCUAACCGCUACAGAAACACAGGCACAAGGCAUACAGUUUACGUUAACGCUAAGAGAGGAACAAGACUGACCUACUUGAAGGAGAGGAGAAAACAGCACCAGCUGAAGGAUCUGGGGACUGUCCGCCACCCCUUCUGCCAGAUGGUGAAAUCUGUGUCCUUCAUGAAGUGGCUCCACACUGCUGGGUGCGCACCCUUCCAGCAGUAAUUAUGAGGGAUAAACAUAGCUGUAUACAGUCAAUUCCCUAUUAAGCAUCCUGUUAUUUAACGUUGAACUGAUGCAGAGCUUAAUGACUCACUGCUUUCUGACAAAUAAUAAAUAUACCACACAGAGGCA